GCGGGCGUGGCGGAACGGUAGACGCCAGAGACUUAAAAUCUCUUGUCCUUCAUGGACGUGCCGGUUCGAGUCCGGCCGCCCGCA
rnacentral:tRNA from 1 species